UGAUUACGUUAACUGGGAUUUUCUGAUAUAUAUGUUGAGAAGAUGUGGGUUUGGGGAAAAUUGGAGGAAGUGGAUGAGCUAUUGUGUGUCAACGGCUACCUUCUCGAUUCUGGUAAAUGGUGAUCCAGUGGGCUUCUUUAAUAGCCCGCGGGGUCUACGACAAGGUGACCCAUUUUCACCCCUUUUAUUUGUCCUAGUAAUGGAGGCUCUAAGUCGAAUGGUAUCGGCAGCAGUAGAGGGAGGAUUUUUUUCAGGUUUCUCAGUGGGAGAUAUCCACGGCUCCACCAUUAUUUCUCCUCUUUUGUUUGCAGAUGACACUUUACUAUUUUGUGAGGCAAAUGCAGGGCAUAUCAAAUCUUUGAAGGCCAUUUUACUUUGUUUUGAAGCAGUAUCCGGGUUGAAGAUUAAUGUUGCUAAGACGGAGAUGGUUGCGGUUAGCGAUGUAAGCAAUAUUAGAGGGUUGGCGAAUAUUUUGGGAUGUGGGGUUUCUUCGUUGCCAUUGAAGUACCUUGGUCUUCCGUUGGGGGCUUAUUUCAAAGCUAAGACAAUUUAGGAGGUGGUGUUGGAAAAAUUUAAGCGUAGGUUGGCCAGGUGGGAAAGGUUGUAUCUUUCUAAAGGGGGGCAGAUCACACUUAUCAAGAGUACCUUAUCCAACCUCCCCACAUAUUACUUAUCUUUAUUUCCCCUCCCCGCUAGUAUUGCAUCUAGAA